GGGCCUUUAGCUCAGUUGGUUAGAGCAGCGGACUCAUAAUCCGUUGGUCGCGGGUUCAAGUCCCGCAGGGCCUACCA
rnacentral:tRNA from 1 species